rnacentral:rRNA from 1 species
AGUGAACGCUGGCGGUAGGCCUAACACAUGCAAGUCGAACGGCAGCACAGUAAGAGCUUGCUCUUACGGGUGGCGAGUGGCGGACGGGUGAGGAAUACAUCGGAAUCUACUUUUUCGUGGGGGAUAACGUAGGGAAACUUACGCUAAUACCGCAUACGACCUACGGGUUAAAGCAGGGGAUCUUCGGACCUUGCGCGAUUGAAUGAGCCGAUGUCGGAUUAGCUAGUUGGCGGGGUAAAGGCCCACCAAGGCGACGAUCCGUAGCUGGUCUGAGAGGAUGAUCAGCCACACUGGAACUGAGACACGGUCCAGACUCCUAUGGGAGGCAGCAGUGGGGAAUAUUGGACAAUGGGCGCAAGCCUGAUCCAGCCAUACCGCGUGGGUGAAGAAGGCCUUCGGGUUGUAAAGCCCUUUUGUUGGGAAAGAAAAGCAGCAGGUUAAUACCCCGCUGUUCUGACGGUACCCAAAGAAUAAGCACCGGCUAACUUCGUG